AUAACAACAAAAUAACAGCAACCAUUUACUGAGCAUUACUCCAUGCAAAGAGUGCUGCUAAGAGCUUCAUUAAUCCUCCAGGCAACUCUAUGGGAUAAACACUAGAAUAUGCCCAUUUUCCACAUGAAGGAUCUCAGGCUUAAAGAGGUCAAGAGAUUGAGACCAUCCUGGCCAACAUGGUGAAACCCCAUUGUUGCAGGAAGUCAGGGACCCCAA
rnacentral:lncRNA from 1 species